rnacentral:rRNA from 1 species
CAGCCGCCACGGUAACACGGAGGGUGCAGGCGUUAAUCGGAAUUACUGGGCGUAAAGCGUGCGUAGGCGGUUUGUUAAGUCUGUUGUGAAAUCCCCGGGCUCAACCUGGGAAUGGCAAUGGAUACUGGCAAGCUAGAGUGUGUCAGAGGAUGGUGGAAUUCCCGGUGUAGCGGUGAAAUGCGUAGAGAUCGGGAGGAACAUCAGUGGCGAAGGCGGCCAUCUGGGACAACACUGACGCUGAGGCACGAAGGCGUGGGGAGCAAACAGGAUUAGAUACCCCAGUAGUCCCUGUCUCUUAUAA